rnacentral:lncRNA from 1 species
GCCAGCUUGUGCCUGUGAGAUAAGCAGCGCCCGCCGGGAAAUGUAGUCCUCUGGCUGAGGAGCGCUGUCACUCUGAGGCGUGAGACAGAGCCUCGCUAUUUGCUCUUGUUGUCCUGGAACUUACAAUGCAGACAAGGCUGGCCUUAAACCCACAGAGAUUUGCCUGCCUCUGCCUCCUGAAUGCUUGGAUUAAAGGUAUCUUGACUGCCGGGUCCUCCUGCAAGGAGAAUGAGAUGGAACUUGAGGGAGAACGGCCAAGAGUCUGAACUCCAGGAGAUGGUGAAACGCAGCUCGGGAGGAUGAAGCCAGCUGCCCUGGAUUUCAUAGCUCUAAGUGAUGGAGACACAUGUCAAAAGCACAGGAUCUGCUUCCUGUAGCAGGAGCCGGGAAGAUUAUGCCAUAGAUACUGUAGAAGCAAGACAUUUCAUCACAUCCAGGUGAAAACACCAAAUUCACCCCAUCUAACAAAAGCCUGGAGUGGGGGUGGGGGCAUAACGAGAGUGGUAAUAGUGAGGUCAAUGAGGACUGGACCUUGCUUCAGAAAACCUUCCUGCUUCCUGUCUCAUUUGGGAGAUGAUAACCAUAGCUACAUUUACUGAGUAGUGUGACCAAUUGUCACACAAAACACUCAUCGAUGGAUCCCAUACCUUCUUUAGUCCUUACAACCCUUUAAGAAAGCCCUGGUACCCUUUUGAAGCUAAGGAAAGGGUUUGGAAGAUUUGGACGCCACUGAAACCACUCAAAUACCCGCUGCCUAAGAAACCAAAUAGUUGAGGUUUGCACAUCUGGAAGGCCUAGCAUUCCUCCUCGUGAGGACCUCAUUCAAGCCUUAGGGCGGCUUCAGCUGAUGUCUGGUCCAGUGGGGGCUGCCUCCGGAGCAGAGGUUCCAUCCUGAAGCUCAGUGCAUCUUGGGGAGGCGACAUUUCUACCCAGGACUUGCUUGAAAACAUCACUGGGGGUUAUAAGAAGUACUUCGACUUGCAGAAAAGACAACAGUAUAUCCAAAUACUGCCAAAUGCCUGGGAGCAACUGAAGAAAUCAGAACUGAAUCUCCUGAUGCAAAUACCAAUGGAGGGAGAAGACCAGAGUGACACCAGGAAGGGGACCCAGGGCGAGUUGUGGGAUGCUAAUAUAAUGUUUCUUCAUUUUGGUGCAACCUAAUUUCAUGUAUUCACUUUGUUAGAUGUUCACUGAGUCAAACCUUAUGUUUUCCAUAGAUCCCCCUUUAUAUGUGAACUUUCAACUUUUUAUUUCCCUUACUGUGAGAUAACCAAACACCUUCCAAACAAAGCAUGUCAUGUUUCACUUUCAAGGACUACGGAUAUUAUCAAAUGUGUAAAAAAAAAAACAAAAC